UUGAUAUUGCCGUCUUGCUCUCCCUCUGAAAGCUCUUUCCCUGCUCCAAUGGUGACGAAAUAAAGGAGCUUCAACGACGCCACGCCGGUAAAUUUCCUUAACUCCCUUUCUUUAUUUUUUAGAAACGAAAGCAAAACAAAAAAAUAAAAUGAAAAUAGUAAAAGAACAAAAGGGAAAAAAACAAGAAGCCGUCACCUUCAAAAUCUAUUUAUUCUUUUCUUGUAUUUUCUUUUUUCGUAUUUUCUUUAACUUUUUCAUACAAUAUUUUUGCCCCCUCCUUAACAGAUUCGAUUGGCUUUUAUAUAGCCUUUACUCAAAAAAACCUUUACAAUUGUUUUGCUGCGUGUAUAUCUUGUUGUUCGUGGUUCGUUUGUAGAACGAACGUGCAUAGUAGACGCAAGGGAUCGUUGAUCAUGGGUGAUUGCGUCGUGGGGUGAUGGAACCGUUGCUGAACGUGGGCAAGGUGCGACGUGGGGCGAUGGGCAGUUGCUGCGGUGGCUGAGAUGCUGCUAACUGCUAGGGUUGCUACUAUCCUUUGAAAAUUUUUACUUUGGGCCACACUGUAAUUGGGCUAAGAUUUAGGGUCAAUGAUUUGGAUUUAAUUGAUUUUUAAUCAGGCCAAAAUUGGCCUAUUACAG
rnacentral:lncRNA from 1 species